GUUUUAUUAGAGUAGGAUUACUUUUACACCUACGUUCUAGAGAUCAAAUAGUCUUAAGGUUGUCUGUUUUUUAUGAGCUGACACUAUUUUAUUGAUUUUCCUUCAGUGGGCUGCCCACAAAGUGGCAGGGGAAUUUAGUUGCCAGGACCAAAGGCGAGAGAUAUGAGUAGGUGUCAUUAUGAUGGAGAUAUCAAAAUGUUCAGACCAGGAAAUGGUGCCAACAGAGGAAGACCUAAC